rnacentral:tRNA from 1 species
AAUGAAGAGCCUGACUAAAGGGUCAUUUUGAUAGAAUGAAUUAUGUAAAUUUUACCUUCAUUA